CCAGUUAGAAGGUAGGAUCACCACCUUGAAGCAGGGAUGGUCCCCAAAGUAAAAGAACAGGUGGCAAACACAGAGGCCAGGGCAAUCACAAGAAAGGAAUGCCUGGUCCUCAGAAUGUCUGUCCUAGGAUGUGGGAGCUGCUGUGUAGGCCUCCUCACUGUAGUGCUGCUACACAUCAUGGGACAGCAGCAGCAGCAGCAGCAACAGGAGUGAGAAAGCCUUCAGCCGCACAACUGACAGCCAGGCCGACUCUGUAUCCUCUUGCGUGACCCUGCAUGUUCACGUCCUGGAUGUUACCUUAACUGCCUGAGAUCACCAGCUUCACAAGAACUCAACUGUAUUUCAUUCCUUUUCUUUUGCCGGGAUUUUGCGGUAGCAGAUAAAUAAACUGACAUCAAUCAUCA